GCUGAUGUAGCUCAGUGGUAGAGCACCUCCUUGGUAAGGAGGAGGCCGCGGGUUCAAUCCCCGCCAUCAGCU
rnacentral:tRNA from 2 species